UACGUAGGCAGCAAGCGUUGUUCGGAAUUACUGGGCGUAAAGAGGGUGUAGGCGGUGCUCUAAGUUUGUCGUGAAAUCUCCCGGCUUAACUGGGAGGGUGCGGCGAAAACUGGAGUGCUAGAGGGUGGGAGAGGAAAGCGGAAUUCCUGGUGUAGCGGUGAAAUGCGUAGAUAUCAGGAGGAACACCUGCGGUGUAGACAGCUUUCUGGACCACUUCUGACGCUGAGACACGAAAGCGUGGGUAGCAAACAGG
rnacentral:rRNA from 1 species